GACGAACGCUGGCGGCGUGCCUAAUACAUGCAAGUAGAACGCUGAAGAGAGGAGCUUACUCUUCUUGGAUGAGUUGCGAACGGGUGAGUAACGCGUAGGUAACCUGCCUUGUAGCGGGGGAUAACUAUUGGAAACGAUAGCUAAUACCGCAUAACAAUGGAUGACACAUGUCAUUUAUUUGAAAGGGGCAAUUGCUCCACUACAAGAUGGACCUGCGUUGUAUUAGCUAGUAGGUGAGGUAAUGGCUCACCUAGGCGACGAUACAUAGCCGAACUGAGAGGGUGAGCGGCCAAACUGGGACUGAGACACGGCCCAGACUCCUACGGGAGGCAGCAGUAGGGAAUCUUCGGCAAUGGGGGCAACCCUGAACGAGCAACGCCGCGUGAGUGAAGAAGGGUUUCGGAUCGUAAAGCUCUGUUGUAAGUCAAGAACGGGUGUGAGAGUGGAAAGUUCACACUGUGACGGUAGCUUACCAGAAAGGGACGGCUAACUACGUG
rnacentral:rRNA from 1 species